rnacentral:lncRNA from 1 species
CUAGCUAAAGUCCUAACAGUUUUACAUGAAUGCCCCUCUCAAUUAGGACUCUCCUAGCUAGAGUCCUAACAAACCCGCCCUCUUCAAAUCAGCCUUGUCCUCGAGGCUGACGAUUCAUGAAUUUUGGGAAUUUGAUCUUCAAGUCAUCAUAGUUCUCCAAAGUGACAUCUUCUGUUAGUAGGUUUGCCCACUGUAUUAGUAAUUCAGUAGUGGAUCGUCGUCGUUGAGUCAUAAUCUGUCGAUCAAUAAUGGCACUUGGCUGAGUCUGAAGUCCUCCUUGGGUAGUCAUAUUUGGUGGGUGGCUUUGGGCUAUCUCCAAGCACCUAUUUACAACUUCUGUCUGGCCGUCGGUUUGUGAGUGAUAUGCCAUACUCCUUUUCAAUUUAGUACUCU